rnacentral:rRNA from 1 species
UACAGAGGUGGCAAGCGUUGUUCGGAAUUACUGGGCGUAAAGGGCGCGUAGGCGGCCAUCUAAGUCAGACGUGAAAUCCCCCGGCUUAACCUGGGAACUGCGUCUGAUACUGGACGGCUUGAGUAUGGGAGAGGAACGUAGAAUUCCAGGUGUAGCGGUGAAAUGCGUAGAUAUCUGGAGGAAUACCGGUGGCGAAGGCGGCGUUCUGGACCAUUACUGACACUGAAUCGCGAAAGCUAGGGGAGCAAACGGG